GAAUGCAGAAAAGUGUCAAGCAAAGAAAAAAUAGUUUUGUUAUGAUCUUAAUGAGUAUUCAUUUUGAACAUUUUAUUUAAAAUAUAGCAUGGACGCUGCUGCAAAUUUCAGCCAGAUAAAAUUGCUGCUAAAAUCACUGACUACAAAUGGGUUUGGGGAGGCGAGGCAGCAUUGGAACAAGCAGUGAGAGAGAUAGGACCGAUGUCUGUUGUGAUUAAUGCAAGUCUGAAAUCCUUUCAACAUUAUAAAGGAGCUGGGGAACAGACUGGGGUGAAGACGGGUAUAUCAAAAUUGCUAAGGAUAGAGAGAAUCACUGUGAAAUUGCCAGUUUUGUGCGGUACCCUGUCGUGUAACGAGCCAACUGAUAAGACAGAGCUUCAUCAAUCCCAGCUGAAUGAAAAUCCGGACUAUUUCUGUUAAUGCUGACUCAUUCAAGGACAUUGUUUAAUUGUCUGCUGCAAAUUUAAAAAGUGAAAUAAUAACGAUUUUUGCACAUUUCUAUCGCUUCAUAUAAAACCAAUGGCAUUGUCUGAUUGAUACAUAUCACCACUGUAAAUGAUAGAGUGAAUGCAUUCUCCAGCUUGUCGAAGACAAUAAUCUGCAUGUACUGCUGAUGUCCAACAAUAUAAUAAAGGCUGCCAGCAAUCA